rnacentral:rRNA from 1 species
UACGUAGGGCGCAAGCGUUGUCCGGAAUUAUUGGGCGUAAAGAGCUCGUAGGCGGUUUGUCGCGUCUGCUGUGAAAUCCCGAGGCUCAACCUCGGGCUUGCAGUGGGUACGGGCAGACUAGAGUGCGGUAGGGGAGACUGGAAUUCCUGGUGUAGCGGUGAAAUGCGCAGAUAUCAGGAGGAACACCGGUGGCGAAGGCGGAUCUCUGGGCCAUUACUGACGCUGGAGGAGCGAAAGCGUGGGGAGCGAACAGGA